rnacentral:rRNA from 1 species
AGUGAACGCUGGCGGUAGGCCUAACACAUGCAAGUCGAACGGCAGCACAGUAAGAGCUUGCUCUUACGGGUGGCGAGUGGCGGACGGGCGAGGAAUACAUCGGAAUCUACUUUUUCGUGGGGGAUAACGUAGGGAAACUUACGCUAAUACCGCAUACGACCUACGGGUGAAAGCAGGGGAUCUUCGGACCUUGCGCGAUUGAAUGAGCCGAUGUCGGAUUAGCUAUAUGGCGGGGGAAAGGCCGACCAAGGCGACGAUCCGUAGCUGGUCUGAGAGGAUGAUCCGCCACACUGGAACUGAGACACGGUCCCGACUCCUACGGGAGGCAGCAGUGGGGAAUAUUGGACAAUGGGGGCAAGCCUGAUCCAGCCAUACCGGGUGGGUGAAGAAGGCCUUCGGGUUGUAAAGCCCUUUUGUUGUGAAAGAAAAGCAGCAGGUUAAUACCCCGCUGUUCUGACGGUACCCAAAGAAUAAGCACCGGCUAACUUCGUG